CAAUACCUGGCGGCGACCGGCAAACGGGUGCGGAACACGUACGCAACCUUCCCAAAACUGGUGAAUAGCCCUCCGAAAGGAGGAUUAAUACACCGUACCAUAAUGAAGAGGCAUCUCUUUGUUAUUAUAGCCGCAAGGCGGUUUUGGAUGGGCAUGCGCCUGAUUAGGUAGUUGGCGGGGUAACGGCCCACCAAGCCUGCGAUCAGUAACUGGUGUGAGAGCACGACCAGUCACACGGGCACUGAGACACGGGCCCGACUCCUACGGGAGGCAGCAGUAAGGAAUAUUGGUCAAUGGACGCAAGUCUGAACCAGCCAUGCCGCGUGAAGGAUGACGGCCCUCUGGGUUGUAAACUUCUUUUAUCUGGGACGAAAAAAGGGCUUUCUAGCUCACUUGACGGUACCAGAGGAAUAAGCACCGGCUAACUCCGUGCCAGCAGCCGCGGUAAUACGGAGGGUGCAAGCGUUAUCCGGAUUUACUGGGUUUAAAGGGUGCGUAGUGGGCAGGUAAGUCAGCGGUGAAAUCUCCGAGCUUAACUCGGAAACUGCCA
rnacentral:rRNA from 1 species